rnacentral:rRNA from 1 species
GAUGAACGCUGGCGGCGUGCUUAACACAUGCAAGUCGAACGGAAAGGCCUCUAGCUUGCUAGAGGUACUCGAGUGGCGAACGGGUGAGUAACACGUGGGUGAUCUGCCCUGCACUGUGGGAUAAGCCUGGGAAACUGGGUCUAAUACCAUAUAGGACCGCACUUUGGAUGGUGUGGUGGAAAGCUUUUGCGGUGUGGGAUGAGCCUGCGGCCUAUCAGCUUGUUGGUGGGGUAAUGGCCUACCAAGGCGGCGACGGGUAUCCGGCCUGAGAGGGUGUACGGACACAUUGGGACUGAGAUACGGCCCAG